AGAGUUUGAUCCUGGCUUAGAUUGAACGCUGGCGGCAGGCUUAACACAUGCAAGUCGAGCGGAGAUGAGGUGCUUGCACCUUAUCUUAGCGGCGGACGGGUGAGUAAUGCUUAGGAAUCUGCCUAUUAGUGGGGGACAACAUUCCGAAAGGAAUGCUAAUACCGCAUACGUCCUACGGGAGAAAGCAGGGGAUCUUCGGACCUUGCGCUAAUAGAUGAGCCUAAGUCGGAUUAGCUAGUUGGUGGGGUAAAGGCCUACCAAGGCGACGAUCUGUAGCGGGUCUGAGAGGAUGAUCCGCCACACUGGGACUGAGACACGGCCCAGACUCCUACGGGAGGCAGCAGUGGGGAAUAUUGGACAAUGGGGGGAACCCUGAUCCAGCCAUGCCGCGUGUGUGAAGAAGGCCUUAUGGUUGUAAAGCACUUUAAGCGAGGAGGAGGCUACUGAGACUAAUACUCUUAGAUAGUGGACGUUACUCGCAGAAUAAGCACCGGCUAACUCUGUGCCAGCAGCCGCGGUAAUACAGAGGGUGCGAGCGUUAAUCGGAUUUACUGGGCGUAAAGCGUGCGUAGGCGGCUUUUUAAGUCGGANGUGAAAUCCCC
rnacentral:rRNA from 1 species